AGCGAACGCUGGCGGCAGGCUUAACACAUGCAAGUCGAACGGUCCUUCGGGAUAGUGGCGGACGGGUGAGUAACACGUGGGAACGUACCCUUAGGUUCGGAACAACACAGGGAAACUUGUGCUAAUACCGGAUGAGCCCUUCGGGGGAAAGAUUUAUCGCCUUUGGAGCGGCCCGCGUCUGAUUAGCUUGUUGGUGAGGUAAUGGCUCACCAAGGCUACGAUCAGUAGCUGGUCUGAGAGGAUGGCCAGCCACACUGGGACUGAGACACGGCCCAG
rnacentral:rRNA from 1 species